UACGUAGGGGGCGAGCGUUGUCCGGAUUUAUUGGGCGUAAAGAGCUCGUAGGCGGUUUGGCAAGUCGGGUGUGAAAACUCCGGGCUCAACUCGGAGACGCCACUCGAUACUGCCAUGACUCGAGUCCGGUAGGGGAGUGCGGAAUUCCUGGUGUAGCGGUGAAAUGCGCAGAUAUCAGGAAGAACACCCGUGGCUAAGGCGGCUCUCUAGUACGGUACUGACGCUGAGACGCGAAAGCGUGGGGAGCGAACAGG
rnacentral:rRNA from 1 species